UACGGAGGGGGCUAGCGUUGUUCGGAAUUACUGGGCGUAAAGCGCACGUAGGCGGCUUUGUAAGUAAGAGGUGAAAGCCCAGAGCUCAACUCUGGAAUUGCCUUUUAGACUGCAUCGCUCGAAUCAUGGAGAGGUCAGUGGAAUUCCGAGUGUAGAGGUGAAAUUCGUAGAUAUUCGGAAGAACACCAGUGGCGAAGGCGGCUGACUGGACAUGCAUUGACGCUGAGGUGCGAAAGCGUGGGGAGCAAA
rnacentral:rRNA from 1 species